AUUGAACGCUGGCGGAAUGCUUUACACAUGCAAGUCGAACGGCAGCACGGACUUCGGUCUGGUGGCGAGUGGCGAACGGGUGAGUAAUGUAUCGGAACGUGCCCAGUCGUGGGGGAUAACGUAGUGAAAAUUACGCUAAUACCGCAUACGAUCUAUGGAUGAAAGCGGGGGAUCGCAAGACCUCGCGCGAUUGGAGCGGCCGAUAUCAGAUUAGGCAGUUGGUGGGGUAAAGGCCUACCAAGCCAACGAUCUGUAGCUGGUCUGAGAGGACGACCAGCCACACUGGAACUGAGACACGGUCCAGACUCCUACGGGAGGUAGCAGUGGGGAAUUUUGGACAAUGGGCGAAAGCCUGGUCCAGCCAUUCCGCGUGCAGGAUGAAGGCCCUCGGGUUGUAAACUGCUUUUGUACAGAACGAAAAGGUUUCUACUAAUACUAGGAGCUCAUGACGGUACUGUAAGAAUAAGCACCGGCUAACUACGUGCCAGCAGCCGCCGCGG
rnacentral:rRNA from 1 species